GAAAUGCGAUAAGUAGUGUGAAUUGCAGAAUUCAGUGAAUCAUCGAAUCUUUGAAGGCACAUUGCGCCCCUUGGUAUUCCAUGGGGCAUGCCUGUUCGAGCGUCAUUUGUACCCUCAAGCUCUGCUUGGUGUUGGGUGUUUGUCCCCGUCUCCGCGCGCGGACUCGCCCCAAAGUGAUUGGCAGCCGGCGUACUGGUCCCGGAGCGCAGCACAUGUCGCGCAAACGAGUGCCUUGGUACGGCGGCGUCCAUAAGCCCCUCUCUCACGCUCUUGACCUCGGAUCAGGUAGGGAUACCCGCUGAACUUAAGC
rnacentral:misc_RNA from 1 species